rnacentral:rRNA from 1 species
GGACCCGCACAAGCGGUGGAUGAUGUGGAUUAAUUCGAUGCAACGCGAAAAACCUUACCUACCCUUGACAUGUCUGGAAUCCUGAAGAGAUUUGGGAGUGCCCGAAAGGGAACCGGAACACAGGUGCUGCAUGGCUGUCGUCAGCUCGUGUCGUGAGAUGUUGGGUUAAGUCCCGCAACGAGCGCAACCCUUGUCGUUAAUUGCCAUCAUUUAGUUGGGCACUUUAACGAGACUGCCGGUGACAAACCGGAGGAAGGUGGGGAUGACGUCAAGUCCUCAUGGCCCUUAUGGGUAGGGCUUCACACGUCAUACAAUGGUCGGUACAGAGGGUUGCCAAGCCGCGAGGUGGAGCCAAUCCCAGAAAGCCGAUCGUAGUCCGGAUUGCAGGCUGCAACUCGCCUGCAUGAAGUCGGAAUCGCUAGUAAUCGCGGAUCAGCAUGUCGCGGUGAAUACGUUCCCGGGUCUU